CCUACGGGUGGCAGCAGUGAGGAAUAUUGGUCCAUGGACGGAAGUCUGAACCAGCCAUGCCGCGUGAAUGAUGAAGGUCUUCGGAUUGUAAAGUUCUGUGAUGGGGGAUGAACACAAUGACGGUACCCCAAUAGCAAGCCACGGCGAACUACGUGCCAGCAGCCGCGGUAAUACGUAGGUGGCAAGCGUUAUCCGGAUGGACUGGGCGUAAAGGGUGCGUCGGGGGUUUAGUAAGUUGGCGGUGUAAUUCCGGGGCUCAACCUCGGCGCUACCGCCAAAAAUAUGAGACGUGAGUGGAGGAGAGGUAAGGGGAAUUCCUAGUGUAGCGGUGGAAUGCGUAGAUAUUAGGAAGAACAUCAGGGGCGAAGGCGACUUACUGGACUGUAACUGACGCUGAGGCACGAAAGCGUGGGGAGCAAACAGGAUUAGAUACCCUGGUAGUC
rnacentral:rRNA from 1 species